rnacentral:rRNA from 1 species
GUCGAACGAGCUUCCGUUGAAUGACGUGCUUGCACUGAUUUCAACAAUGAAGCGAGUGGCGAACUGGUGAGUAACACGUGGGAAAUCUGCCCAGAAGCAGGGGAUAACACUUGGAAACAGGUGCUAAUACCGUAUAACAACAAAAUCCGCAUGGAUUUUGUUUGAAAGGUGGCUUCGGCUAUCACUUCUGGAUGAUCCCGCGGCGUAUUAGUUAGUUGGUGAGGUAAAGGCCCACCAAGACGAUGAUACGUAGCCGACCUGAGAGGGUAAUCGGCCACAUUGGGACUGAGACACGGCCCAAACUCCUACGGGAGGCAGCAGUAGGGAAUCUUCCACAAUGGACGAAAGUCUGAUGGAGCAAUGCCGCGUGAGUGAAGAAGGGUUUCGGCUCGUAAAACUCUGUUGUUAAAGAAGAACACCUUUGAGAGUAACUGUUCAAGGGUUGACGGUAUUUAACCAGAAAGCCACGGCUAACUACGUGCCAGCAGCCGCGGUAAUACGUAGGUGGCAAGCGUUGUCCGGAUUUAUUGGGCGUAAAGCGAGCGCAGGCGGUUUUUUAAGUCUGAUGUGAAAGCCUUCGGCUUAACCGGAGAAGUGCAUCGGAAACUGGGAGACUUGAGUGCAGAAGAGGACAGUGGAACUCCAUGUGUAGCGGUGGAAUGCGUAGAUAUAUGGAAGAACACCAGUGGCGAAGGCGGCUGUCUAGUCUGUAACUGACGCUGAGGCUCGAAAGCAUGGGUAGCGAACAGGAUUAGAUACCCUGGUAGUCCAUGCCGUAAACGAUGAGUGCUAAGUGUUGGAGGGUUUCCGCCCUUCAGUGCUGCAGCUAACGCAUUAAGCACUCCGCCUGGGGAGUACGACCGCAAGGUUGAAACUCAAAGGAAUUGACGGGGGCCCGCACAAGCGGUGGAGCAUGUGGUUUAAUUCGAAGCUACGCGAAGAACCUUACCAGGUCUUGACAUCUUCUGCCAAUCUUAGAGAUAAGACGUUCCCUUCGGGGACAGAAUGACAGGUGGUGCAUGGUUGUCGUCAGCUCGUGUCGUGAGAUGUUGGGUUAAGUCCCGCAACGAGCGCAACCCUUAUUAUCAGUUGCCAGCAUUCAGUUGGGCACUCUGGUGAGACUGCCGGUGACAAACCG